rnacentral:rRNA from 1 species
CACGUAGUUAGCCGGUGCUUCUUUACCCAUUACCGUCACUCACGCUUCGUCACAGGCGAAAGCGGUUUACAACCCGAAGGCCGUCAUCCCGCACGCGGCGUUGCUGCAUCAGGCCUCCGCCCAUUGUGCAAUAUUCCCCACUGCUGCCUCCCGUAGGAGUCUGGGCCGUAUCUCAGUCCCAAUGUGGCCGGUCACCCUCUCAGGCCGGCUACCCGUCAAAGCCUUGGUAAGCCACUACCCCACCAACAAGCUGAUAAGCCGCGAGUCCAUCCCCAACCGCCGAAACUUUCCAACCCCCACCAUGCAGCAGGAGCUCCUAUCCGGUAUUAGCCCCAGUUUCCUGAAGUUAUCCCAAAGUCAAGGGCAGGUUACUCACGUGUUACUCACCCGUUCGCCACUCGAGCACCCCACAAAAGCAGGGCCUUUCCGUUCGACUUGCAUGUGUUAAGCACGCCGCCAGCGUUCGUCCUGAGCCAGGAUCAAACUCU